rnacentral:rRNA from 1 species
GACUUGAGAGCGGCGCACGGGUGCGGAACACGUGUGCAACCUGCCUUUAUCUGGGGGAUAGCCUUUCGAAAGGAAGAUUAAUACCCCAUAAUAUUUAGAAUGGCAUCAUUUUAAAUUGAAAACUCCGGUGGAUAGAGAUGGGCACGCGCAAGAUUAGAUAGUUGGUGAGGUAACGGCUCACCAAGUCAGCGAUCUUUAGGGGGCCUGAGAGGGUGAUCCCCCACACUGGUACUGAGACACGGACCAGACUCCUACGGGAGGCAGCAGUGAGGAAUAUUGGACAAUGGGUGAGAGCCUGAUCCAGCCAUCCCGCGUGAAGGACGACGGCCCUAUGGGUUGUAAACUUCUUUUGUAUAGGGAUAAACCUAGAUACGUGUAUCUAGCUGAAGGUACUAUACGAAUAAGCACCGGCUAACUCCGUGCCAGCAGCCGCGGUAAUACGGAGGGUGCAAGCGUUAUCCGGAUUUAUUGGGUUUAAAGGGUCCGUAGGCGGAUGUGUAAGUCAGUGGUGAAAUCUCACAGCUUAACUGUGAAACUGCCAUUGAUACUGCAUGUCUUGAGUGUUGUUGAAGUAGCUGGAAUAAGUAGUGUAGCGGUGAAAUGCAUAGAUAUUACUUAGAACACCAAUUGCGAAGGCAGGUUACUAAGCAACAACUGACGCUGAUGGACGAAAGCGUGGGGAGCGAACAGGAUUAGAUACCCUGGUAGUCCACGCCGUAAACGAUGCUAACUCGUUUUUGGGGCGUAAGCUUCAGAGACUAAGCGAAAGUGAUAAGUUAGCCACCUGGGGAGUACGAACG